CAGUAUGACCUUAAUGAAUACCGCACGAUUACGAUCCGUUCCAGACUGAUAACUUUACGUUCCUAAAUAUCAGUCUGACCGUAGUGAAUACCGUACGAUUACGAUCCGUUCCAUACUGAUACCUUAAUUAUAGGCUAAUUAUAGAGCCUUCAAUUUCAAACACAUUUUUAUUAUCAUAUGCUCUUAUUUUUUUUUCAUCAUUAUAUGAUUAACAUUUCCUAAACUUUACGAUUUUCAACUUUUUUUUUAAAUAAUAGUCCAUCUCUGAGACAACAAAAACGUAAAUAAAUGGAAGAUAAAAGCAAGAAAGACAACCCUAAUAAAGGAGUCAGGACUAAGACUAGUAAUUAUUUCCCCUUAUUUCAUGAUUGUCGAAUGUAGUGCGAGUUAUAAAUAGACAAUUUUUCCCUUAAUUUUUUUCUCCCCUCUUCCUGCAUUUUUGGUUGACUUUUUGGUCUAGAAUUGGAGAAAAGGGAUCAAAUUUGCAAUUUCAUAGCAGUUUUGGGUAAUACUGAUGAUAUUACAGCGGAGGGAUAGGGGGUGUAAAGUGUCUUUCUGCAGAGCAAUCAUUGUGUCGGAAGUGAGAUUUUCACCCGUCAACUUCAAAUCCGUGUAGCAAAAAAUCUAAACGGUCAACCCCUUACAAAAUUAUGAUGAGGAGAUUGCCAAAUGUUGUCCCCAUUGUGCCUAUAAAGAUUGGAACCAACGGAAUGUUGAGCAAAAAGCUACAGCCUGUGAUGUUACAGUCAUUUAACAUUGAAGUCAAUGGGCAAAUAAUUGCUAGUCUGAGUCCUGAUGAUAUAAAGAAGCAUGGCCGACUCGGGAUGUUGAUAUUUUUUCAACGGCUUAUUUCCUGAAGUUUUGAAUGGAAAGUGUCAGAAAUGGUAAGAAUACUGCUUUUUUAUUGCCCAGCAGUAAGUUUUUUGACUAUUUGGUAUCAAAAUAGCCAUGAUUGGGGGUAUCCGUUGGUUGAGUGUGAAUUUUGGGUUGUAAAUGUGUAACAUUUUGUUCACAAUGAUAUCAAAACAUGGUUAGGUCUAAAUAUUAAGGCCAACUCAACUCCAGAUUUGGUCUAAAGUCACGAGAUGUAAACAAGACUGACCCUAACCCUAACCCAAGACCCAGUCCUUACCCUAACCCUAACCCACAAUCUUGUCAAAAAGCAUGUAGCCUAGGCCUAAGCCAAGACCUAGUUCUGACCCUAGCCCAAACCCACAAUUGUGUCAAAAAAUCAUGUGCCCUAACCCUAUUUACAUGUUGUGACCUUGAACCAAGUCUGCAGUUGGUCUUAACAUUUAGACCUAACAUGUUUUUGACAUCAUACAAUGAAAUGUUAACAUGUACACUCCAAAAUUCACACCUGUGUGACUUUUGACCAAACAUGCAGUUGGCCUUAAUAUUUAGACCGAACCUCAAAACAUGGCAUCUACCUUUGAGAUUGGCUUAGACUUAUGUGACACUCAAGGUGCCAGGGCAAUGUUUCAUAGAGUGGAAUGAUUGACCUCAACACAAGUAUUAAAAAAAAAGAAGCAAAACAGGUCUACAUCUCAAAACCUGAUCUCUUCCUGGACUGGCUUUAGGAGAACGAUGAUGCAUAUCAAUUUCAUCCCUGAUCUCUAUGACACCUGUGGUGGAAGUGGAGGGCAAAUCGUAAUCAGUUUGGGUUCCUGCCCUGAGGACCUCUGUAAACUUUGCUUUUCGGUGAUGACUUAAUUUCCGAGCUUGAAAAGAACGCCUGUGUGUUUAUCAUGGCCUCUCAUAUUGGAAGAUAACAUUAAUGGCUUGUGUGUUGAUCGACGGUUGUGCAUAUCUCUUGGUCAGGAAAGUUGUAGGCACCAUCGCCAUUGUAAAUCAUUUGACAGGCCCGAGUGAACGGGGCGACCUAUGAUUGGUCAGCAAUGUAUCAGAUUCCAUACCGGGGUGUGGGGAUGAAAAAACUGUUGUAGUGUUACAUAAUCAGAUUAUUUCAACUUACUUAUCCUGUGGAAAUACAGCUAUAUAGGAGAUAUUUUGAAAUUCAUAGGCACUGCAUGUUUCAACAUUUUAGAUUUGACCACAAUUUGGCACUUGAAACUAUGUUAACAGAGAAAAACUGUGUGGUUUUCGAUGAA